CCCUUAGAGUUUGAUCCUGGCUCAGGAUGAACGCUAGCUACAGGCUUAACACAUGCAAGUCGAGGGGAAACGACAUCGAAAGCUUGCUUUUGAUGGGCGUCGACCGGCGCACGGGUGAGUAACGCGUAUCCAACCUGCCCACCACUUGGGGAUAACCUUGCGAAAGUAAGACUAAUACCCAAUGAUAUCUCUAGAAAAACUUCUGAGGAGAUUAAAGAUUUAUCGGUGAUGGAUGGGGAUGCGUCUGAUUAGCUUGUUGGCGGGGUAACGGCCCACCAAGGCGACGAUCAGUAGGGGUUCUGAGAGGAAGGUCCCCCACAUUGGAACUGAGACACGGUCCAAACUCCUACGGGAGGCAGCAGUGAGGAAUAUUGGUCAAUGGGCGAGAGCCUGAACCAGCCAAGUAGCGUGCAGGAUGACGGCCCUAUGGGUUGUAAACUGCUUUUAUAAGGGAAUAAAGUGAGUCUCGUGAGACUUUUUGCAUGUACCUUAUGAAUAAGGACCGGCUAAUUCCGUGCCAGCAGCCGCGGUAAUACGGAAGGUCCGGGCGUUAUCCGGAUUUAUUGGGUUUAAAGGGAGCGUAGGCCGGAGAUUAAGCGUGUUGUGAAAUGUAGACGCUCAACGUCUGCACUGCAGCGCGAACUGGUUUCCUUGAGUACGCACAAAGUGGGCGGAAUUCGUGGUGUAGCGGUGAAAUGCUUAGAUAUCACGAAGAACUCCGAUUGCGAAGGCAGCUCACUGGAGCGCAACUGACGCUGAAGCUCGAAAGUGCGGGUAUCGAACAGGAUUAGAUACCCUGGUAGUCCGCACGGUAAACGAUGGAUGCCCGCUGUUGGUCUGAAUAGGUCAGCGGCCAAGCGAAAGCAUUAAGCAUCCCACCUGGGGAGUACGCCGGCAACGGUGA
rnacentral:rRNA from 1 species